GAUGUUUUCAGAGAAGGGAUCUUUUGUUAAUUUUUAUUUUGAUGUAACUGUGCUUCAAUUUUCAGAGCACUUCGAGUAAUCUAAGAAAUUAUAUAUGCGCUAUAUUUUAUCAUAUCGCUUGAUUGAUGAGACCUAUAGAGAUGAUUAAAAAUAUCUAUGAUGCCGAACUCCUCCAAUGCCUAUCACACUGUUCUUACCAAUACCAAUACGAUUUCCCCCAUCUGUAAGAUGAAAAAUAAUGAACUUACAAGCCUUAAAAUCUUCAAAUCUCUUCCACGUGUCGAGCUUCUUCACCUUAAGAAUGGGACUCCAAUCAACACAAAUCAUUUCGAAGCUCCUCCGUAUUUAUUAUCCUUGGCCUUUACCAUCAACGCUGAGCUACCUCACAACUUAUAGGCGGGUCUACCAGACAAAAACGUCUAACAAUCUUCUGUUCAAUAGUCUAGCUAUCUAAACCUAGGACGUGACUCCGAUCAACAAUGGAAAUUUUUGGCUUUCCAUUUAGAGGACCCGGGUUCGAUUCUCGACACUCUCCUUAGAAAUUUCUUUCAUAGGAUCUGAACCUUGUCAUCAGCUCCCAUCCUGCUGACCCCUCUGCAGAGGUGAACAAAGGUAUUAUAACCCGUCACUUAAUAAUCACCACUGAUUGGAAAAGGAGAUCAACUAUUGAUAAAAAAAAAAUCAUUCGAAUGACGAUUUCAUCCAUCGUCAUACACUCAGACACACAAAACUGUCGAGCAAUCGUCUUUCUUCUUUUCACGUGUAGAAUUAUAUCAUCACUAAGAUGGUGCUCCGCUUGACACACAGGUCUAAUAAUCCAGUCUUCUCUUCCCUUCAAGUGUCGAGUUGCUACACAUGGAUGGAGUUUCGCCCGAUAUAAAAACACCAAUAAUUUUCAUUUUUCUUUUCAUGUGUAGAGCUCUCACACCACUCUGAUGGAGUUCUGUUCGACACAGAAAUUUCUAACAGUCGUCUGUUUUUACUUUUCACGUAUCGAAUUGCAUCGUCACCAGGAUGAAGAUUCGGCCGACAAAUAAAAACAUCUAAUAAUGUUCACAUGUGAAGUUAUCCAUCGUUACCACAAAGCAUCGCCCGACACAGAAGAAAAGUUUUUUAUUCUUUUCAUGUGUCGUGUGUUUGUUUUAUGUGAGCACGGCCGGGUUUAACCGAUUUGCAAGUUCUAACAAUCUUCGUGUGUCGAGCUGUCCCACCACUAGGAUGGAAUACUUUCUGAUGCAAAAACUAAAUAGGGGUGAAACAUGCCCUUCCACAGGUUACCCAUCCCUGUUAGAGCCAACUAGUAGAGGACGGGAAUCAAUGGGUCAGAUCCAAAACCAAUGAUAAAUAUUUCCAAAAAUUAGAUCCAAGAACCGAACCGGAUUCUCAGAAUGAAAAGCCGAAGAGUUUCCACGUGACCAAUCCGGCCAGCGAACUUAUGGGUUAAAAUAUGACAUUUCCCUACAUCCCUGUAAAUUUGCAGCUUAUUAUAGGCAAUCUAUUUCUGUGGAGGGAUCAGCCAGAUUGAAGAAGAUAGGAGCCAAAAUGCUGACCCCAGAUACCUAUAUAAAGUUUUGAAAUUUUGGCCCCUAUUUAAUUCUGAGUUUUCUACUGAAAAGCCAAAACGUUCUACGCGUUCAAUAUCCACUACUGCAUUACUGUCA
rnacentral:lncRNA from 1 species